CCGUAGUGUAUUAAUCACUUUUUGAAUUUUUUUUUCUAUUUUAAUAUUUGUUCUAGGGUCUCUUGAUGAUUUUAUGAGUUUUUUACUUUUUCUUUUUUAAUUUCUAUUCUAGGCCCGUGACUCGUGAGUGACAUGAUUAUCUUUAAAAGUGACUCAGAUCACGUUCAUUCACUGCACAUGACAAAAAAAAACAAAUGAAAAAAUAACAAUAUAUAUCUAAAGACCAUUUUACCUUAACCAACUUAAAACAAGACCUAACAAAGUAGCUCCUCUCCCUUUCACAUGAAUACUGACUUUUUCUUUACUUUCAUUUUCACACCUAAAUCCUAAUCGCCGCACCUAACAAAAAUCUAGCUCUCUCUCUCUCUGAACACCGCAUCUUCUAUUUCCUCGCCUACUGUUUGUCUCUCUAAUAAUGAAGAAAGUUACAUCUUCUCUCCUCACAUUGCUGUUCUGCCGAAGUGUCAUCCUUCCUCAUCAUCCUCCUUCAUAGAUCUACACUCUCUCUUUGUGUGAUCUGAGUGGAUUUUUUUAAUACCAUUUUUUAUCCUUUUGUUGUUGAUCUAUGUCGUAUAAUGCACAUCUAGGUUGUACUUUGUUUGCUAUAAUUUUUUUUGUUUUUUUUUCUUGUUGGUCUUUUAUGCUCUGGCUUGUCUUGGGUAUGGUCUAUAGGCUGGAUCUUCGGUUGGGUUUUAUUUUUUGUUUUGUGGGUUGUUGUUUGUUUACCUUAUAAUCUCAAACCGCACCACCCUCCCUCUCCCUCUCAAACUUCAUACACUUGAAGAGACCAUGUUCAGAUCUAUGUUCCUAGGGUUUUUAUGUUUUCGAUUCACGUUUAUUCUAUUUUUCUUUCGAUUGAUAUUUAUUCUUGCUUUUCUAUUUCUAUUGUUUUUCUGUUUUGUAGUAAAUUUUUUUUUUCUUUUUUUUAGUUGAUAUUUAUUUUUGCCUCAUCAGAUUUGCCACCUACGGCCCCUCGUUGUCACCCAUGAGCCCUCUCCCUCACAACUUCUGAAGGUACAUCUCAUUGCUUGUCUCCCUCUCUUAAACUCCAAGCAAAGCAAAAGAUUUCUCUACUGAAGUUAUGAAAAUCAGAAGAUUUUAUUGGGCUUUUUUUUGUGUGUCAUGUAUAUCCGUAUGCAUUUUUUUUUUUUUUUGUUGUUGUUGGGGAUAUUCUCUCUGAAGUACUGAUGCGAAUAUGCAAAUAUGCUUUUUAUUCUGUUCGGGUUUUUUUUGCUAUCGUGCAUAUGCGUAUGAUGUAUACACUUGUAAUAAAUAUAUCCAUGUAACACUGAGAGUAGAAAUGAGAGAAUGAAGAAUAAGAAUCAUA